AAAGAAAAGGUUUUUUUUUUUUAAGGCUCAAAAGGGUUAACUAUGGAAAUUUCACAAAAUGGAUGGCUAGAAAGGCUCAAACGGGUCAAAGAUGGCCUUUUCAUCGUCUUUUAGGACUCUAAAUAAUUUUCUAUAUCUACUAGUUAGCUGGACCUUCAAAUGUAGCAACACACUUCUUCUUCUUUUUCUUUUAUUAUUAUUUUUUUAUUUUAAUUUUUUUAAAAAAGGGUUGACUCAAAAGAAAUCUAGAGAUCGUGUAUACAAU
rnacentral:lncRNA from 1 species